rnacentral:rRNA from 1 species
GAUGAACGCUGGCGGCGUGCCUAAUACAUGCAAGUCGAGCGAACAGAUGAGAAGCUUGCUCCUCUGACGUUAGCGGCGGACGGGUGAGUAACACGUGGAUAACCUACCUAUAAGACUGGGAUAACUUCGGGAAACCGGAGCUAAUACCGGAUAAUAUAUUGAACCGCAUGGUUCAAUAGUGAAAGACGGUUUUGCUGUCACUUAUAGAUGGAUCCGCGCCGCAUUAGCUAGUUGGUAAGGUAACGGCUUACCAAGGCAACGAUGCGUAGCCGACCUGAGAGGGUGACCGGCCAACCGGAACCGGAGACCCGGCCCAGCUCCCUAGGGGAGGCAGCGGUAGGGAAUUUCCCGAAAGGGGGGAAAGCUGGACGGAGCACGGCGGGGUGGGGAAUGAAGGCCUUGGGUUGGUAAAAUCUUGUAAUUAGGGAAGACCAAAUGGGUAAGUACCUGUGACCUUCUUGCGGGUACCUAAUAAGAAGGCACCGGUUACUUCCGU